GACGAACGCUGGCGGCGUGCCUAAUACAUGCAAGUUGAGCGCUGAAGGUUGGUACUUGUACCGACUGGAUGAGCAGCGAACGGGUGAGUAACGCGUGGGGAAUCUGCCUUUGAGCGGGGGACAACAUUUGGAAACGAAUGCUAAUACCGCAUAAAAACUUUAAACACAAGUUUUAAGUUUGAAAGAUGCAAUUGCAUCACUCAAAGAUGAUCCCGCGUUGUAUUAGCUAGUUGGUGAGGUAAAGGCUCACCAAGGCGAUGAUACAUAGCCGACCUGAGAGGGUGAUCGGCCACAUUGGGACUGAGACACGGCCCAAACUCCUACGGGAGGCAGCAGUAGGGAAUCUUCGGCAAUGGAAGAAAGUCUGACCGAGCAACGCCGCGUGAGUGAAGAAGGUUUUCGGAUCGUAAAACUCUGUUGGUAGAGAAGAACGUUGGUGAGAGUGGAAAGCUCAUCAAGUGACGGUAACUACCCAGAAAGGGACGGCUAACUACGUG
rnacentral:rRNA from 1 species